rnacentral:rRNA from 1 species
UUUUUAUAUCUUGUUAAUUUACAUAUGUUAGGGGAAUUAUAUGUGAAAAAUAAUUUAAUUAGUUAAUUAAUAGUAAUUAUUAUUGAAUAAUGGUUUAGGAACUAUAGAGAAUAGUACUGUAGGGGAAAGAGUUAAAAAAGAAAAAAGAAAUAAAGUAAAAAUAAAAUUUUGUACCUUGGGUAUCAUGGAAAAUUAAUAUAUUAUUAAAUAAUGUUGAAUAUCUCGAAAUAAAAAUAGUUAAUUUUAUAGGAGAGUUUUUGUAGUAAAAAAAUUUUUAAUAUAAAAUUAGAAGUGAAAUGUUAGUCGAGUUUUAUUAUAUCUAGUUCUUUAAAAAAUAAAUAUAAUUUAAGUUUUAUAUAUAAAUAAUAUAAAGUGAAAAAAUAGAAGGGAAAAGCUUUUUAUUUUGGAAAUAGCUAAGUAGAAAUAAAUAGGUUUAACUAAGCUUAAGAGUAGCUAUGUUUGUAAAGUGUUUUAAUUAAAAGCCUAAUAUGUGAAUAUUUUUAUAAGGGGGGCUUUAGUAUAAAUAUUAAGGAUUUAUUUAAAAUCUUUUAUAAUAAGAUAAUAUGGUUUUAUUAGUAGAAAUUUAUAUUUAAUUAAAAAGUUAAAUAAUAAAUAAAUUAUUUAAAUGUAAGAGGUAAUAUAAAGGAAUUCAGCAAAUUUUUUCUUUGCCUGUUUAUCAAAAACAUGUUUGUUUGGAGAUAUAAAGAAUUUAACCUGCCCACUGAUUAUUAAGAAUUUAAGGGCCGCAGUAUUAUAACUGUGCAAAGGUAGCAUAAUCAUUAGAUUUUUAAUUGAAAUCUCGUAUGAAUGGUUGGACAAAAGAAAAACUGUCUUUGUAUUAAUUUUGAAUUUAACUUUUAAGUGAAAAGGCUUAAAUAAUUUAAAGGGACGAUAAGACCCUAUAAAACUUUACAUUGUAAUUAAUAUUUAAUUAAAUUUAUAAAUAUAAAGAUUUAAUUUAAUUAUUUGUUAUGUUGGGGAGACAUAAGUAAAUUUUAUUUUAACUGCUUGAUAAAUUAAACAAUUAUUAAUGAAUAGAAGAAGAUCCUUUAUUGAAGAGUAUUAGGUCAAGUUACUUUAGGGAUAACAGCGUAAUUUCUUUUGAGAGUUCUUAUCGAAAAAGAAGAUUGCGACCUCGAUGUUGAAUUAAAAUAUCUAUAUAAUGGAGAAGUUAUAUAAGAAGGUCUGUUCGACCUUUAAAUUUUUACAUGAUUUGAGUUCAAACCGGUGUGAGCCAGGUUGGUUUCUAUCUUUUAAGGUGAGAGAGAUUACUUUAGUACGAAAGGAGUAGGUAAUUGAAAUAAUUUUAAGGUUG